rnacentral:rRNA from 1 species
UACAGAGGGGGCAAGCGUUAAUCGGAAUUACUGGGCGUAAAGUGUGCGCAGGCGGCCGCGCAAGUCGAGUGUGAAAGCCCCGAGCUUAACUUGGGAAUUGCGCUCGAAACUACGUGGCUGGAGUGUGGCAGAGGAAGGUGGAAUUCCAGGUGUAGCGGUGAAAUGCGUAGAGAUCUGGAGGAACACCGAUGGCGAAGGCAGCCUUCUGGGCCAGCACUGACACUGAAGCACGAAAGCGUGGGGAGCAAACAGG